UACGGAGGGUGCGAGCGUUAAUCGGAAUAACUGGGCGUAAAGGGCACGCAGGCGGGCUUUUAAGUGAGAUGUGAAAUCCCCGGGCUUAACCUGGGAAUAGCAUUUCAGACUGGGAGUCUAGAGUACUUUAGGGAGGGGUAGAAUUCCUAGUGUAGCGGUGAAAUGCGCAGAUAUUAGGAGGAAUACCGAAGGCGAAGGCAGCCCCUUGGGAAUGUACUGACGCUCAUGUGCGAAAGCGUGGGGAGCAAACAGG
rnacentral:rRNA from 1 species